rnacentral:rRNA from 1 species
CCAGCAGCCGCGGUAAUACGGAGGGUGCGAGCGUUAAUCGGAAUUACUGGGCGUAAAGCGUACGCAGGCGGUUUGUUAAGCGACAUGUGAAAGCCCCGGGCUCAACCUGGGAACUGCAUUUCGAACUGGCAAACUAGAGUGUGAUAGAGGGUGGUAGA